rfam:Ovis aries breed Texel chromosome 3, whole genome shotgun sequence.
UCCCUGGUGGCCCAGUGGCUAAGACUCUGUGCUCCCAAUGCAGGGGGCCUGGGUUCAAUCCCUGGUCAGGGAA